rnacentral:rRNA from 1 species
UACGGAGGGAGCAAGCGUUACUCGGAAUUAUUGGGCGUAAAGGGCGCGUAGGCGAUUCGAAAAGUCAACUGUGAAAGCCCAGGGCCUAACCCUGGAAGUGCAGCUGAUACUGUUGAAUUUGAGUUCCGGAGAGGAAGGCAGAAUUCCCGGUGUAGCGGUGAAAUGCGUAGAUAUUGGGAAGAACACCUGAGGCGAAGGCGGGUUGCUGGGCUGAUACUGACGCUGAGGCGCGAAAGCCAGGGGAGCAAACGGG